AGCAGCAGCCAGAGAUUCCUAUCGGGAGAGGGAAGACUUUACUUUUGAAGAGGAAAAGUACUUAACUCCUAGAGGAAAGCGUCAUUCCUGAGGUUUACCCUCAUGGUCUGGAGACAAACACGUGGGACUUUUCUUUUUUGUGUGUGUUUCUAAUAGUGGAAGAAAAGGAAAGCCAGGCUAAGCAGAGAAAAGUGGAAGAGGAGACACAGCAGCUCAUUCUUUCCCAGUAGCCGUUAGACUGAUUGCGGAGGGGAAGGUCAAAAGAGAAGUUCACAACUAUGAUACCAGCUCUAGAGGCGAAAGAACAACUGAGAGAGAACUAUCCAAGAAGUGUUUGGAUCCCGAAGCACAAAGGUAGACUUACAAAGGAUGAAAUUGAUCUCUACUACUAAGUGGAUCCAUCUUCAAGAGAGGGCGUUCAGAACACCCGGAAAGAUAAGAAAGAACAUGUUAGGACUUCCUCACCUCCUUGGGACAUGGUUAUGAAGAUGAGAGUAAAUGACACGUCACUUCCGGACAGAAUCUUUCAGAGUCAACUUGCAAUUCACGAUGUCCCUGUCUCUGCCUUAAUCAUAGUGGAAGCACCUGCUGAGAUGGAAGUUUCCUCAGCCUGGUCUCUGAGGGUCUAUGAUGAGCAGUCUUCCCUAGUAUCCGCUUUGGAGAAAUAGAUCUUAACUGAAUUAAGAUACUGAGGUUUGGCAUUAUUUAUUUAUGUAUCUAUUUAUUUACUUGUAACAUCUUUGUUAGAUUUUGGUAUCUGGUUAUUGCUAGCCUCCUCAAACAAACUGAGAAGAGUUCUUUCCUGCUCUAUUUUCUGAAAGAAUUUGCUUAAGAUUUGUGUAACUUCUUUCUCAAAUGUUUGAUAGAAUUCACCAGGGAAACUAUCUGGGCUAGGAGCUUCCUUCCUCUUUCUUUCUUCUUUGUCUCUCUUUCUGUCUUUUCUUUCUUUUCAAAAGCUCUACUUAUAUAGCAUUGACAUUUAAAAAUUGUACAUAUUUAAGCUGUACAACUUGAUUUAACUCUAAACAAUAGUUUUAUUUAAAUAAUAUUUUUUAUUAUACUUUAAGUUCUGGGAUAUAUGUGCAGAAUGUGCAGGUUUGUUACAUAGGUAUACAUAGGUUUGUUACAUAUGUGCCAUGGAGGUUUGCUGCACCCAUCAACCUGUCAUCUACAUUAGGUAUUUCUCCUCAUGCUAUCACUCCCCUAGCCCCCCAUCCCCCAACUUGAUGUUUUGAUAUAGAUUGUGAAAUGAUCACAACACAGCCAAUUAAAUAUCUACCUCUUCUACAUAGUUACCCUUUGUGUGUACGUUGAAAAGAUUUACGAUCUAUCAUCUUCUGAAGUUUUCUUUGUGGGAAAUGUUCUGAUAAUGAAUUCAAUUUCUUUAAUAGAUGGAACUAUUUAGAUUUUGGAUUUCAUUUUGUAAUCUUAUCAAGCCAUUUUGCCCGUCUCAGUUGCCAAAUUUAUUGGCAUAAAGUUGUUCAUAAUAUUUUCUUAUUACCUUUUAAUGCCUGUGGGCUCUGUGGUGAUAUUGAUGCAGGAUUUUUUUCGGCCCCUUUGCCGAACUUGUGGCAGGGGCGCCCCAUCUAUUUGGCUCACUGCGCUCAGCCCCUUGAGGGAGGGAGCAUGUGAGAGAGUGAGUGCAGGAUCUGGCUCGCUGCAGGAUCUGGCUUGCCACAGGAGCAAGCUCUGUUUGGGGGGCCUGUGGCCAGACCAGGUGUGUCACCUUGAGGGGAACAGUGACACCCAGGUGAGGUUGCCCAUGACCCCGAGGCCCCAAAGGGGGUGUGUUAUAGUAGUCUUUUAGUUCCACUGUCCAUGGUCUGAUGGACAGUGGUGUGUUAGCAGCUUAGUUGGCCCCUUGCCUCGUCAUGUGGGGUAGCUGCCCUCCGCUGCUGAGGGCAAAGGGCCAUUGUGACAGCCUUUUCUGGGUACCUGCACUUGGUGGGUCCUGAGGUCUUAUCCAGCAUCCAGGAAGAAACUCUUCCAUCACCUGCAUGACCUCAUUCUGCCUGGAUGCUGGACAAGAGCUUGGGACCCAAUGAGUGGGUGAAGACAGAGCAUUUUAUUGAGUGACGGAAACAGCUCUCAGUGGAGAGGGGAGCUGGAGAGGGGAUGGGAAGGGAAGGUUGUCUUCCCCAAAGUCAGGUUGUCUCUUCCUCGAAGUCAGGCCAUCUCCCCUUCUACUGACUGAGUCUUUAUAGGCACAGGAUGGGGAGUGUGUGCUGAUUGGUUUGUGAGUAUGCAAAGAAGGUUAAAAUUAAGAGAUCACUCAAAGGUGGGCAUGACAGUGUAGAAAACCAAUUAGGAAAGGGUAGGUAUAUGUAAAAUAGGUGAAAGGUGGGGAUCAAUCAGAGGAAGGCACACCAAACAGGAGGACAAAUUCUUAAUCCAGUCCAAGGAUUUAACUUGUAGUUUGGCUUUCAGGCUUUAAACUGUCUUUGGUUUGGAGGUGGGGCUUCACCAGGGACCUGCUCCUGUCUGCCGAGGCAUUUGACUGCCUCCUGUUACUAUCAAUAUCUCCUUUCAUUCCCUAAAUUUAUAAUUUGCAUGCUGUCUCUUUAAUCAACCUAGCCAGCUAGGAGUUUAUAAAUUUCGUUGAUAUUUUCAAUGAACCAGCUUUUGGCUUUGUUAAUUUUCUCUUCUUAUAUGUUUUCUGCUUCACAAAUAUUGACUGUUUUUUUAUUAUUUUUUCCUUUCUUCUACUUAAAGUUUACUUUGCUCUUUUUUAUCCUAGCUUUUUGAAGUGGAACCUUAGAUCCUUACUUUUACAUCUUUCUUCUUUCCUAAUAAAGCUAAAUAUUUUCCUUUAAGCACUCCUUUAGUUGUAAAUCACAAAUUUUGAUAGAUUAUACUUUUAUUUAUUGUUCAGUGCAAAAUAAUUUUUAAUUACUCAUUUUCUUUGUGACUUAUUCUUCUACCCAUGGGUUAUCUGGAAGUGUGUAUUUAAUUUCCAAAUAUUUGGGUUGUGCCAGAUAUCUUAC
rnacentral:lncRNA from 10 species